rnacentral:rRNA from 1 species
GACGAACGCUGGCGGCGCGCUUAACACAUGCAAGUCGAGCGAAGCGGCGGACGGGUGAGUAACACGUGAGUAACCUGCCUUAGACAUUGGGAAAGCCUCGGGAAACCGGGAUUAAUACAAAAUGGUCUCAGAUGGACUCGCGUCCCAUUAGCUAGUUGGUGAGGUAACGGCCCACCAAGGCGACGAUGGGUAGCCGGCCUGGGAGGGUGGACGGGCACAUUGGAAGUGAGAAACGGUCCAAACUCUACGGGAGGCAGCAGUGGGGAAUAUUGCACAAUGGAGGGAACUCUGAUGCAGCCACGCCGCGUGAACGAAGAAGGCUUUCGAGUCGUAAAGUUCGUUUAUAUGGGAAGCGGUACCAUAAGAGAAAGCCCCGGCUAACUACGUGCCAGCAGCCGCGGUAAUUC